GACGAACGCUGGCGGCGUGCUUAACACAUGCAAGUCGAACGGAAAGGCCCUGCUUUUGUGGGGUGCUCGAGUGGCGAACGGGUGAGUAACACGUGAGUAACCUGCCCUUGACUUUGGGAUAACUUCAGGAAACUGGGGCUAAUACCGGAUAGGAGCUCCUGCUGCAUGGUGGGGGUUGGAAAGUUUCGGCGGUUGGGGAUGGACUCGCGGCUUAUCAGCUUGUUGGUGGGGUAGUGGCUUACCAAGGCUUUGACGGGUAGCCGGCCUGAGAGGGUGACCGGCAACAGUGGGGAGGAGAGCCGGCCCAGACUCCUACGGGGGGCAGAAGUGGGGAAUAUGGCACAAGGGGCGGAGGCCUGAGGCAGCAACGCCGCGUGCGGGAUGACGGCUUUCGGGUUGUAAACCGCUUUCGCCUGUGACGAAGCGUGAGUGACGGUAAUGGUAAAAGAAGCACCGGCUAACUAC
rnacentral:rRNA from 1 species